AAGGAUUUAUCUGAUUUGGUUUCGCUACAUUGGUUCAUUUCGUCUUCCGCGCAUUCAUAAUGUAAAUGCUUCCUAGAUCUUGUCUCAAAACAUUUGAAGUUUGUUUCUUUGAAGAAGAUGUUUGAUGAAGAUGAUGUCCACUUAAGUUUUGCCAUUUUCUAACUAUUGGCUGUAGUUUCCCUGACUUCCUCGAUACUGAAAGAUAAAAUUUUCGUGGUUUACGUCAAUUAUAUAAAUUAAACACGUUCACUCCAUUGAAUUUGUGUUUUUUAGUUCACAAGAUGAUAAUAUUCAUUUUUGCGAGCUUUUAUGAAAACGCUAAAUUUAGUGAUACAAGAAACCUUGAGGAGUCAUACCGAAACUACUGGAAUUUGAUGACUGUUUACUCGUCAUCAGAAUGCAGUAAUUGAUAUCGUUUUAUUAUAAUUUGAUCUUUCGUACCAAUAAUUGCUUGGGAGCCAAUUGUCUUUUCAAUAAGUGAAAAUAAUACUUAAUAAUGACACUUGAUAGAUAUUUAAAUAAAUCAAUUUAUUAACAACGUAAAGUUUUGUUCAAUUUAUAGAUUAUAGUAGUCAGGUAGCUCUUUCCGUCGCAGAGAUUCCCGUGGAGAAGAAGUGUUACUGAUCAGCGAAAAGUGCUGCGGAGAAUAGAGGUUUGGUUGUCAGAAAGUUAUAAGUCAAUUGUUCUAAACAUCUAGAAGUUGCUGAAACGCAACAUCUCAGCAUGAUGUACUUGUUCUGUUUGUCAUAUCUGCAUGAGAACAAUUAAAAUGAUAAAAUCUUAGCUUUGUCCAAAUAUGAAGUGACUUUGAAUGUGAACAUAUACAAAAACACAUCUUUCCCUUACCUGUUAGCUAGAGUUUUAAGACGAAGCUUUGUAAAAAUAUUACUCACUUGAUAACUUUCAGACUGAUGACUGUUACCAUCUAACCACAAUAGAUAUCAAGCGAAAUAUUUUGUUUUGAGAAUGUUUGGUAUUUUCUUUUUAUGCAAUUAUGUAAAGCACCACAGACUAUGUCUAAUUUUGUUUCGCUACAUUGGUUCAUUUCGUCUUCCGCAUUCAUAACGUAAAUGUUUGCAUCUUGUCUUAAAAUUAGAAGUCGAUUUCCUGGUUUAAAAGAAGAUGUUUCCAAAGUGUUUUUAUUCUGCGAUGUUGGUUGUCGUGUCCUUACAAUUGAAAGGUACAAGUCUUUUUGUGAUCCUGCAUUUAUAACGUGCUGAAUUAACCAUAAGAGCGA
rnacentral:lncRNA from 1 species